rnacentral:rRNA from 1 species
AACGAACGCUGGCGGCAUGCCUAACACAUGCAAGUCGAACGAGACCUUCGGGUCUAGUGGCGCACGGGUGCGUAACGCGUGGGAACCUGCCCUUAGGUUCGGAAUAACUCCCCGAAAGGGGUGCUAAUACCGGAUAAUGUCUUCGGACCAAAGAUUUAUCGCCUUUGGAUGGGCCCGCGUUGGAUUAGCUUGUUGGUAGGGUAAAAGCCUACCAAGGCGACGAUCCAUAGCUGGUCUGAGAGGAUGAUCCGCCACACUGGGACUGAGACACGGCCCAGACUCUUACGGGAGGCAGCAGUGGGGAAUAUUGGACAAUGGGCGAAAGCCUGAUCCAGCAAUGCCGCGUGAGUGAUGAAGGCCGUAGGGUUGUAAAGCUCUUUUACCCGGGAUGAUAAUGACAGUACCGGGAGAAUAAGCUCCGGCUAACUCCGUG